UUCUAGUAAAAGAUUUGACUUGAGAAUCUACUCAGUUGUUUCCUAUUGUAGUUGGUGGCUAACUGAUGAAUUAUAUCGUAUUUUGGGGGGCUUUUGGCAGUGCUACACAAUGUAUGAUUGUAAAGAUGAAAUUAGAUUGCCCUAACUUUAGCAAGAUUAUUAGAUUGUUCUGGCUGUAUUUAUCUUCAUAAACCAUUGAAACAUAAUUUAAAUUGUAUUUAUAAAGGUGGAGCCAGUACAAGUAAUUAUAGUUCUUUGGGUAAUGCCUUCAGUGCAUUCAUGGUGUGGCUACCAAUAGUUGGUAUUGGUAGAACAGACAGAUGUAGUUAAUAUUUUGCUUUAAUAGUUAAAAAGAUAUGAUAACCUAUGAAAAGAGAGGAAACUCCAGAAAAAAAAGCUAAAUACAGCAAAUUUAUUUGAGAUACCCUUUGGUCCAUAUUCGGUAACAGUUCCUCAGAUAACCUUAUCUGUUAGUGUCUGUCCGUAGUUUAACAACUAUCCCUUCUUAUUUCUGUGUAGUAUAUUCUAGAAAUAUACAAACGUGUCUUUUUUUUCCUAACUCUUCCAACUUCGUUACUUACAUCCAAGGUAUUUAUCCUGCCACAGUUUCCACUGUUAAUUGUCUUCUUCAGUCUAAGAUUUCAGUCUUCUUGUUUACCUUAGUUUAAGGUUCUUUUAAAUUACCUAAAUAAUCUUUAACCAAAAAAGCAUUGUUUUUAUUAAAUAUUGAUAAAAAUAAAUAAAAUAUAUUUUAAGAUUUACCUACUAGGUGCCCAUCACUUAGUUAAAAAAAAGAAGUAUUGUUACUUAUUAAAGUCCCCUGAGUGCCUCUUCCCAAUCCCAUCCUCGUCCAAUUCCAUGAGAGUAACCAUGCUCUUGAAUUUGUUUAUCAUUAGCUUGCUUUUCUUUUUAUUUUGCCAUGUUUCUAUUAACAGUGUAUUGUUUAACAUAAAUGGAAUGAUUUUAUGUGUAUUAUUAUGCAAGUUGAUUUUUUUUCUCAAGAUAGUAUUCCUGAAGUUUAUCCAAGUUAUUGCAUAUAGCUGUAGUUAUGAUCACUGUUGAAUAUAUCAUGAUUUAUUUAUCCAUCCUUUUUUUUUUUGAUAAGAUGAGUUGUUUCUAGUUUGCUGUUAUAGGCAAUUAGAGAACAUUCUAUUAUGUGUCUUCUGGGGAGGGAGCCCUGGUGGCAUAUUGGUUAAAUGCUUAGCUGCUAACUGAAAGAUGUGUGGUUUGAACACACCAGCCACUCUGGGAGAAAAAUGCGGCAGUCCUUUUCUGUAGAAACCCUAUGGGGCAGUUGUACUGUGUCUGUAGGGUCGCUGUGAGUUGAAAUUGACUUGAUGACAACAGGUUUGGUUUUGGUUUUAGUUUUAGGUCUUUUGGGACACAAAUGUUUGAGCUUUUCUAAGGGGUAUACCUAGAGAUUGGAUUGCUUGAUCCUAAGGUAUUCACAACUUUAUACUGCUGCCACCCACUGUACAAUUGUGUAGGUAGCUACACAUCCUCACCAGUGCUUGAUCCUUUCAGACUUCUUAACUUUUACCAGUCUGGUAGGUAGAAAAUGAUGUCUCCUUUUGGUUUUGUUUUCCCUACGGUCUGAUGAGAUUCAGCCUCAUCAUUUAUUUGCCAUCUGUGUUUUAUCAUGUGAAAGUGCUUAUUCAGGUCUCCUGCCCAUUUUCAUUCCCAGAUUCUUUAUAGUUUUGAUGUUACUUUAAGUGAUUUUUUAAAAACAACUUUCCAGUUGUUUGUUUGUAACAUAGAAAUGUAGUAGUUUUUUUUAAUGUGCUUUAAGUGAAAGUUUACAAAUCAAGUCAGUCUCUCAUACAAAAAUUUAUAUAUACCUUGCUGUAUACUCCUGGAAACCCUGUGGUGUAGUAGUUAAAUGCUGUGGCUGCUAACCAAAGGGUUGGAAGUUUGAAUCCACCAGGUGCUCCUUGGAAACUUUAUGGGGCAGUUCUACUCUGUCCUAUAGGGUUGCUAUGAGUUGGAAUCGACUUGACGGCACUGGGUUUGGUUUUUGGUUUAUAUACUCCUAGUUGCUCUCCCCCUAAUGAGACAGCACACUCCUUCUUUCCACUUUCUAUUUUCGUGUCCAUUCGACCAGCUUCUGACCCCCUCUGCCCUCUCAUCUCCCAUCCAGACAGGAGCUGCCCACAUAGUCUCACGUGUCUACUUGAUCCAAGAAGCUCAUUCCUUACCAGUACCAUUUUCUAUCUCAUAGUCCAGUCCAAUCCCUGUCUGAAGAGUUAGCUUUGGGAAUGGUCCCUGUCUUGGACUAACAGGAGGUCUGGGGACCAUGACCACUAGGGUCCUUCUAGUCUCAGUCAGACCAUUAAGUCUGGUCUUUUUACGAGAAUUUGAGGUCUGCAUCCCACUGUUCUGCUCCUUAGGGGUUCUCUUUUGUGUUCCCUGUCAGGGCAGUCAUCAGUUGUAGCUGGGCACUAUCUAGUCCUUCUACUCUCAGUUAGACCAUUAAGUCUGGUCUUUUUACGAGAAUUUGAGGUCUGCAUCCCACUGUUCUGCUCCCUUAGGGGUUCUCUUUUGUGUUCCCUGUCAGGGCAAUCAUCAGUUGUAGCUGGGCACUAUCUGGUAUCUUUGGUGUUCUUCAUUCUCUUUUGCUCCAGGUGGGUUGAGACCAAUUGAUGCAUCUUAAAUGGCCACAUGCUAGCAUUUAAGAUCUCCAAAGUGGGAUACAGAAUGUUUUCUUAAUAGAUUUUAUUAUGCCAGUUGACCUAGAUGUCCCCUGAAACCAUGGUCCCCAAAUGUAAUGGAAUUUUUAAUAUUCACCCUUGAGUCAGCUGUCUUCCUAAAGUCUCUUGUUAAUGCUAAUAAUGUGUCUAUAGAUGCUCUUGUGUUUUCUGUAUAGACAAUCAUAUAUGAAAAAAGACAAUUUUUUUUGCUUUGCCGGCUAAGCCUUCCAGCCUCAUACUGCUAGUAAUGAUGAGAGCAAGCAUCUUUGUCUUGUUGUUAAUCUUAAAUUCUUUGUACGGUUGACCAUUAAGUGUAAUGCUUGCUGUAGGUUUUCUUAUGGAUACCUUUUGUCAGAAAGGAUUUAAGGAAAAAUUUUUUCUUCUAUUCAUUGUUAACUAAGAGCUUUGCUUUGCUGAAUUUUUUUUUUUUAAUUUCUGCCUUUUUAAAUGUUUUUAUUAGAGACUAACAAGGUAGUAUGAGCUCAGUGUAAAAAAAUUCAAACAAUGUGGAAGUAUAUAACAUAAAAAUAAAAGAGUCUCCGGUAACCCUAGGCAAGAAUAUUCUUCCUGACAUGUUUUUGCUUGUGCAAAUGUGUAUACAUAUACUACACACAUACCACAAAAUUUUUCAUGUGUAUUAAUUAUAGACAUCUUUCAAAACCAGUACAUAUAGAUAGAACUGUCUUUUUUUUUUUUUUUUUUUUUUUUUUGCUUUGGUAAAAUAUAUAUAGUAGGACAGUGGUGGUUAAAUGAUAGAAUUCUCGCCUUCUAACAUUCAAUUGUGCUGUGAGGAACCCAUACAUAGAUCGAGAGGCAGCCAUUCGAACAGAACAAGGGGUACUGCAUGGUUUAAAGUCAGGAAAGGUGUGUGUCAGGGUUGUAUCUUUCACCAUACUUAGUCUGUAUGCUGAGCAAAUAAUCUGAGAAACUGGACUGUAUGAUGAAGAAGGGGGCAUCACGAUUGGAGGAAGACUCAUUAACAACCUGUGUUACGCAGAUGACACAACGUUGCUUGCUGAAAUUGAAGAGGACUUGAAGCACUUACUGAUGAGGAUCAAAGAGUUCGGUAUUCAGAGGAAUCAGUCCCUGGAGAAGGACAUCAUGCUUAGUAAAGUAGAGGAUCAGCAAAAAAAAGGAAGACCCUCAAGAUGGAUUCACCCAGUGGCUGCAGCAGUUGGCUCAGGUAUAACAAUGAUGUGAGGAUGGCACAGGACUGGGCAGUGUUUCGUUCUGUUGUACAUAGGGUUGCUGUGAGUCAGAGCCUACUUGAUGGCACCUAACAACAACAUGCGGGAGUACUGAAUUUGAUUCCCAGCCGUGUGCAGCCACCACCUAAUUGUCAGUGGAUGCUUGUGUUUUGCUGUGAUGCAGAACAGGUUUCAGUGGAGCUUCCAGACCAACAUGGACUUGGAAGAAAGGCCAGACAAUCUACUUCUAAUAAUCAGGCAGUGAAGACUGUGGAUUACAGCUAGUCUGAUCUGUGACUGAUCAUGGGGAUAACACAAGACCUGGCAGUGUUUUGUUCUUUUGUGCUUGGGGUCACCCUGAAUCAGUGACCAACUUAAUGUAGCUAACAACAACAAAAUAUAACAUAAAAUUUGCCAUUUUAACUAUUUUUAAGUGUACAGUUAAGUGGCAUUGUUUUGUUUUAAAAGUAUAAAUGGAUGUUGAAUUUUAUUAAACUUUUCCUGCAACUGUUAGAUAAUCAUAUGAUUUUUCACUCAUAAGCUGUUAUUAGUGAUGAAAAUUACAUUAAUUGAUUUUCUAAUUGCAAACCAAUCUUGUAUUCUAGGAUAGCACAACUUGAUCGUUAUGCGUUAGCCUUCUUAUGAAUUGCUGAAUUCACUUUGUUCAGGAUGUUAGCAUGUGUAUUCAUGAAUGAUACUGCCUGUGAUUUUCCAUUUUCAUAUUUUCUUACUAGGUUUUGGUGUCAGGCUUAUGAAAGCCUUAUAAAGUGAAGUGGAGAGUGUUCUCUCUACUUUGAAGAUAUAAUAUUUAUGUAUUUUAAUUUGUUCUUAAUUCUUCUGUGUUCGGUAAAACAUGUAGCCAAAAUGUCAGGGCCUAAUUUCCUUAGAGAAAUAAUUGAUUCCUCUAAUGAAUAUAUGUCUAUUUAAGUACCCUGUUCAUUUUUAAGACAUUUUUUUAAGUUGCAUUUUUCUUGGACUCUAUAUUUUUGUAAAUUUUCAAAUUGAUUAGCGUAAAGCUAAUCAUAAUAUUACCUUUUUGAUAGUGGUAUCGUUUGAUAGUGGUAUCGUUUGAUAGUUAUUCCUUUUUUUUUUUCAUUCCUAAUACUCUGUUUGUGCCUCCUUGCUCUUUUUUUUCUUUUCAGUAUUGCUAAGGUCAUGUUAAUUUCAUUAAUGUUCUCAAAGAAUAAACUUUUACCUGUUUUUUCCAUUUUAUUAGUUUUAAUUCUGAUUAAACUGCUUUGUUGUAGAGAAUAUAACCUAUAUGAUGUGUCUAUCCUCUGAAAUUGAUUGAGACUUGUUUUAUGUGGUCACUUUUUGUAUAUGCUCUGUAUUUGAAACGAAUGUAUAUUCUGCAGUUUUUUGGUACCGUCUCCUGUAGAUGUCUGUUAGAUUUAGAUUGCCCAUAGGUUUGUUUGGAUAUCCUGCAUACUUAGUGUGCUUGAUCCAUCAUAUAUUACUGAGUGGGAUAUAUUCACAUCUACUAUGAUGGUGAAUUUGUUUCUCCUGUUUUUUUGUCACUUUUGCUUUUUAUAUUUUGAGCCCAAAAAACUGAUCAUGUAAGCUUAAAGUAGUCAUGUGCCACAUAACAUCCAUUUACAACGUCAGAACAGGUAUAUGUCUCUGGUCCCAUAGGUUAUAAUAGAGUUCAUAACCAAUCAGAGAAUGGGAAGUAGCACACGUAACCAGAUGUAAUGAAUGGAACAGCUUCCGGCAUGCAACAUGUAUAUUUUUUGUCUGUCCUGCACUGCCACGUGUAUAAUGAUACAGUACAGUGCAUGUAUAACCUAUGACACAUAUGCCUGGAUAGUCAUAGUAAAUGCCUAGGUUACUGGCUUAUGUACGUACUGUACUGUACUUUCUAUCGUCAUUUUAAUGUGAACUUUUCCUACUUACAAGUAAAAAGUUUACUGUAUAACAUUGUAUUCUUCAACUCGUAGGCAGCAGCAGCAUCCUAUCUCAUGUAUCACACAUCUCUUUAGUGUUGUUGUGUCAUUUCUCUGUUUAGUUUUCUUUUGAAAAUAUUACCAUGAGGUGUAGUAUGGCUUCUAAAUGCAGCAAAACCAGUGGUAGUGACAGCAGCAGCGAGAGGCAGAGGAGAUGUUAAAGAUCUGGAAGUAAAACGAAAGGAAUCCCUUAUAGCUUUGCUAAGUAUGUAAUAUAGUGUCCACACGGCCUCCAAAUCAUGUAACGUCCUAAUUUCACAGAACAUACUGUGGACGGUAGUUUUUUUUUUUGGUGAAUUGAACCAUUUAUGGUUACGUAGUAUCUUGCUUUAUCUUUAGUAAUUUUUUUCUUCUGUUUUGCAAUGGAGUCUGUUUUGUGUGAUACUGAUAGAGCCAUAUAAACUUUAUUUCAGCCAUAGUUUGCCCUGGUAUGUUGUUGGUUGCUGUGAUUGUGACUCAUAGCAACCCCACCUGUGCAGAGUAGAACUGCUCCAUAGGCUUUUCAAGGCUAUUACCUUUUGCAGAUCAUCAGGCCUGUCUUCUGAGGUGCCUGUAGCUGGGUUUGAACCACCAACCUUUCAGCUAAUAAUAGAGCACUUAGCCAUUUUUUGCCACGAGGGGACUCCUUGCCUGGUAUAGCGUUCUUUAUUCUUUCAGACAUUUUGGAUCCUUGACCUUUAGGUGUGUCUUUUGUAAAUGAAGACUGCUAUGUAUGUUGUUCCAGAAUUUCUUAUGCAGGGCGAGAUAUUCACUGGGGGAAAGCAUCAUCUUUUUAACAAAUAGUGCUUGGACAACUGAAUAUGCAUGUGGGAAAGAAUGACGUUGGACCCUUACCUUACACUGUAUACAAAAAUUAACUCAAAAUGGAUUAAAGACCAAAAUGUAAGAGCUAAAAUGAUUAAAAAAAAAAAAAACCCUUAGAAGAAAACAUAGGGGUUAACCUUCAUGAUCUUGGAUUUGGCAGUGAUUUCUUUCACAUGACACUGAAAGCACAAAGAAGUAAAAAAAAAAAAAAAAGAUAAAUUG